GUAGGUGGCAAGCGUUGUCCGGAAUUAUUGGGCGUAAAGCGCGCGCAGGCGGUCCUUUAAGUCUGAUGUGAAAGCCCACGGCUCAACCGUGGAGGGUCAUUGGAAACUGGGGGACUUGAGUACAGAAGAGGAAAGCGGAAUUCCACGUGUAGCGGUGAAAUGCGUAGAGAUGUGGAGGAACACCAGUGGCGAAGGCGGCUUUCUGGUCUGUAACUGACGCUGAGGCGCGAAAGCGUGGGGAGCAAACAGGGAUUAGAUACCCUGGUAGUCCACGCCGUAAACGAUGAGUGCUAAGUGUUAGGGGGUUUCCGCCCCCUUAGUGCUGCAGCUAACGCAUUAAGCACUCCGCCUGGGGAUACGGCCGCAAGGCUG
rnacentral:rRNA from 1 species